rnacentral:rRNA from 1 species
GACGAACGCUGGCGGCGUGCUUAACACAUGCAAGUCGAGCGGAAAGGCCCUUCGGGGUACUCGAGUGGCGAACGGGUGAGUAACACGUGGGUGAUCUGCCCUGCACUUUGGGAUAAGCCUGGGAAACUGGGUCUAAUACCGAAUAGGACCACGCGCUUCAUGGUGUGUGGUGGAAAGCUUUUGCGGUGUGGGAUGGGCCCGCGGCCUAUCAGCUUGUUGGUGGGGUAAUGGCCUACCAAGGCGACGACGGGUAGCCGGCCUGAGAGGGUGACCGGCCACACUGGGACUGAGAUACGGCCCAGACUCCUACGGGAGGCAGCAGUGGGGAAUAUUGCACAAUGGGCGCAAGCCUGAUGCAGCGACGCCGCGUGAGGGAUGACGGCCUUCGGGUUGUAAACCUCUUUCACCAGGGACGAAGCGUAAGUGACGGUACCUGGAGAAGAAGCACCGGCCAACUACGUG